rnacentral:ribozyme from 1 species
GACGACGAGGACGAGGAGCUCUGGUUCGAGCCGUCGGUGUCGGCGCACAGCGUCCGGUACUCGACGAGCAGCCUCGCCAAGCAACCCAAG